rnacentral:rRNA from 1 species
AUUGAACGCUGGCGGCAGGCCUAACACAUGCAAGUCGAGCGAGCGGCGGACGGGUGAGUAAUGUAUGGGGACUGCCCGCUAGAGGGGGAUCACUACUGGAAACGGUAGCUAAAACCGCAUACUAUCGGCUUACCCAUAUGGGAUUAGCUAGUAGGUGAGGUAAGGGCCCACCAAGGCGCCGAUCCCUAGCUGGUCUGAGAGGACGACCAGCCACACUGGGACGGAGACACGGCCCAGACGCCUACGGAGGCAGCAGUGGGGAAUUUUGGACAAUGGGGGAAACCCUGAUCCAGCCAUCCCGCGUGUAUGAUGAAGGCCUUCGGGUUGUAAAGUACUUUUGGCAGAGAAGCGGUAUCUGCAGAAUAAGCACCGGCUAACUACGUGCCAGCAGCCGCGGUAAUUC